rnacentral:rRNA from 1 species
GAAUUCACUAGUGAUUCAGGCCUAACACAUGCAAGUCGAACGGCAGCACGGGUGCUUGCACCUGGUGGCGAGUGGCGAACGGGUGAGUAAUAUAUCGGAACGUACCUUAUUGUGGGGGAUAACGCAGCGAAAGCUGUGCUAAUACCGCAUAAUCCCUAAGGGGGAAAGCGGGGGACCGUAAGGCCUCGCGCAAUUAGAGCGGCCGAUACCUGAUUAGCUAGUUGGUGAGGUAAAGGCUCACCAAGGCAACGAUCAGUAGCUGGUCUGAGAGGACGAUCAGCCACACUGGGACUGAGACACGGCCCAGACUCCUACGGGAGGCAGCAGUGGGGAAUUUUGGACAAUGGGGGCAACCCUGAUCCAGCAAGUGCCGCGUGAGUGAAGAAGGCCUUCGGGUUGUAAAGCUAUGUGUCAGGGAAGAAACAGCAGCUCUAACACAGUUUGCGAAUGAC